CCUGGGCUGCAUGCAAAGCAACGUGGCCAGCAGGUCAGGGAGGUGCUCCUGCACCUCUACUCUGUGCUGGUGAGGUCUCACCUGGAGUACUGCAUCCAGAUGUGGAGUCCUCAGCACAGGAGAGACAUGGAGCUGUUGGAGCGUAACCAAAAAGGAUCUGAGGGAUGGAACAGCUCUUCUAUGAGGACGGGCUGAGAGAGCUGGGGCUGUGCAGGUGGAGAAGAGAAGGCUGUGAGGAGACCUGAGCGUGGCCUUCAGUAUCUAAAGGGGAGCGACAGGAAAGAAGAGGACAGCUGCUUUAGCAGAGCUGUGGUGAUGGAACAAGGGGAAAUGGCUU
rnacentral:lncRNA from 1 species